AAGUUUUUGGUUAAGAUACUAAGGGCGCACGGUGGAUGCCUUGGCGCUCUCAGGCGAUGAAGGACGCGGCUACCGGCGAUACGCCCCGGUGAGGUGGAAGCAACCUUUGACCCGGGGAUUUCCGAAUGGGGGAACCCAUCCCGAUUCGUCGGGAUAUCCUAUCCUGAAUCCAUAAGGGAUAGGAGGCAAACCCAGCGAACUGAACCAUCUAAGUAGCUGGAGGAAAAGAAAUCAACCGAGAUUCCCAAAGUAGCGGCGAGCGAAAUGGGAAGAGCCUAAACCGACUGUGGCAUUAAAGGUGCUGGCCGUUGCCGCAGCGGGGUCGUGGGAUGUCGCCUGACCCAACCAGCAUGAGGGUCGCGGAGUUACAAAUCUCCCGCAUAGCCGAAUCUUAUGGAAAGAUGAACCGUAGAGGGUGAUAGUCCCGUAGGCGAAAUGCGUGGAGACUCCGUCGGCGGUAUUCCCAAGUAAGGCGGGGCACGUGAAACCCUGUCUGAAUCCGGGUGGACCACCAUCCAAGGCUAAAUACUCGAGAGCGACCGAUAGUGAACCAGUACCGUGAGGGAAAGGUGAAAAGCACCCCUGUGCGGGGAGUGAAAUAGAACCUGAAACCGUGUGCCUACAAGCUGUGGGAGUCCCGCACCAACUUGCGUGCAAGUUGGUGCGGGAUGACUGCGUGCCUAUUGAAUAAUGAGCCGGCGAGUUACGCUCAGUCGCCAGGUUAAGGGCUUAUGGUCUGCAACCGUAG
rnacentral:rRNA from 1 species